GACGAACGCUGGCGGCGUGCUUAACACAUGCAAGUCGAACGGUAAGGCCCUUCGGGGUACACGAGUGGCGAACGGGUGAGUGACACGUGGGUGAUCUGCCCUGCACUUCGGGAUAAGCCUGGGAAACUGGGUCUAAUACCGGAUAGGACCACUGCCUGCAUGGGUGGUGGUGGAAAGCUUUUGCGGUGUGGGAUGGGCUCGCGGCCUAUCAGCUAGUUGGUGAGGUAAAGGCUAACCAAGGCGACGACGGGUAGCCGGCCUGAGAGGGUGACCGGCCACACUGGGACUGAGACACUGCCCAGACUCCUACGGGAGGCAGCAGUGGGGAAUAUUGCGCAAUGGGCGAAAGCCUGACGCAGCAACGCCGCGUGAGGGAUGACGGCCUUCAGGUUGUAAACCUCUUUCAGUAGGGAAGAAGCGAAAGUGACGGUACCUAAAGAAGAAGCACCGGCUAACUAUGUGCCAGCAGCCGCGGUAA
rnacentral:rRNA from 1 species